AGUUUAAUUACUCAAAUUUUAAGGUAAUUGAAGUAUUUUGGCCCAGAGUUUUGGCUGAUUUGGCUUAAAGUGAAAUUUUGGAACAUCCUGCAUCAGCGGAACAAC
rfam:Onchocerca volvulus assembly O_volvulus_Cameroon_v3 genomic scaffold, OVOC_OM4